rnacentral:rRNA from 1 species
UACGGGGGGGGCAAGCGCUGUUCGGAAUUACUGGGCGUAAAGGGCUCGUAGGCGGCCAACUAAGUCCGACGUGAAAUCCCAAGGCUUAACCUUGGAACUGCGUCGGAUACUGGAUGGCUUGAAUUCGGGAGAGGGAUGCAGAAUUCCAGGUGUAGCGGUGAAAUGCGUAGAUAUCUGGAGGAAUACCGGUGGCGAAGGCGGCAUCCUGGACCGACAUUGACGCUGAGGAGCGAAAGCUAGGGGAGCAAACGGG